UAGCCUACCAAGGUAAUGAUCUAUAGCUGAUCUGAGAGGAUGAUCAGCCACACUGGAACUGAGAUACGGUCCAGACUCCUACGGGAGGCAGCAGUGGGGAAUAUUGGACAAUGGGCGAAAGCCUGAUCCAGCCAUGCCGCAUGAGUGAAGAAGGCCUUUGGGUUGUAAAGCUCUUUUAGUGAGGAAGAUAAUGACGGUACUCACAGAAGAAGUCCUGGCUAACUCCGUGCCAGCAGCCGCGGUAAUACGGAGAGGGCUAGCGUUAUUCGGAAUUAUUGGGCGUAAAGGGCGCGUAGGCUGGUUAAUAAGUUAAAAGUGAAAUCCCGAGGCUUAACCUUGGAAUUGCUUUUAAAACUAUUAAUCUAGAGAUUGAAAGAGGAUAGAGGAAUUCCUGAUGUAGAGGUAAAAUUCGUAGAUAUUAGGAGGAACACCAGUGGCGAAGGCGUCUAUCUGGUUCAAAUCUGACGCUGAAGCGCGAAGGCGUGGGGAGCAAACAGGAUUAGAUACCCUGGUAGUCCA
rnacentral:rRNA from 1 species